rnacentral:rRNA from 1 species
GACGAACGCUGGCGGCGUGCCUAAUACAUGCAAGUAGAACGCAGUUGCGAACGGGUGAGUAACGCGUAGGUACCUGCCUCAUAGCGGGGGUUAACUAUUGGAACCGCUUGCUAAUACCUCCUACUGUGAGAUUGACCUGCGUUGUAUUAGCUAGUUGGUUAGGUACAGGCUCACCAAGGCGACGAUACAUAGCCGACCUGAGAGGGUGAUCGGCCACACUGGGACUGAGACACGGCCCAGACUCCUACGGGAGGCAGAAGUAGGGAAUCUUCGGCAAGGGACGGAAGUCUGACCGAGCAACGCCGCGGGAGUGAAGAAGGUUUUCGGAUCGUAAAGCUCUGUUGUUAGAGAAGCGGUAACUAACAAGAAAGGGACGGCUAACUACGUGCCAGCAGCGGCGGUAUAC